UCAUUAAUAACUAAUAGAUAAUAUAUUACUCAAUUUAUUUAUUUUCACAAUUAUACAAUAUAGAGAGAAAGAGAGAUAGGAUUCUAUCCUUUCGAAUGUACGUAUGCCUUUCUACUUGCAAGUUGUUUUCAACGAUGGGAUAUCCGAUUCGGUGAUCGGUUUCGUUAGACAUGAUCGAUAUUAUUGGAACUAUCUAGAAACCAAAUUUUAUAAUCUUUUGACUUCAUUUGACUAGUGAACAAGUAGUUUCAAAAUGAACGGUUGAAAAUAAAAAUAUCAUAAAAAAUAGUAAUAAAAGACUUAAUUUUCAAUUCACAAGUAUUGAUCUUGUUAUUGAUAUUAAGUACAAUUUUCUAUUAAAACUUCAUGGAAUUUGAAUUAUUUUACACCGUUGAACUUAAAAACGUGCCACAUCAACUUUAAAAUAGUCAAUUUUGAUACCUUUUGUUAAAUGAUGUCAAAAUAUUAUGAAAUUUAGUUUCUCGAUAGUUCCAAUAAGGUAGAUUAUGUCUAAACGGAGCCGAUCGUCGAAUCGGAUGUCCUAUUAUCGAAAACAACUUACAAGUACGGAUACCUCCGUACUUUUGAAAGUACAGGAGACCUGUAUAUAUAUAUAUAUAUAUAUAUAUAGAGUCGGCUACUAUGCUAUCGGUAGCACGGAGCGCUCCGUGCUACCAAGUUGUUUUCGAUGAUGCGGCUUCCAAAUCGACGAUCGGCUCCGUU
rnacentral:lncRNA from 1 species